rnacentral:rRNA from 1 species
GGUGUAGGCGGCUCUUCGAGUCGGAUGUGAAAUCUCCCGGCUUAACUGGGAGGGGUCAUUCGAUACUGCUGGGCUGGAGUGCAGCAGAGGAAAGCGGAAUUCCCGGUGUAGUGGUGAAAUGCGUAGAUAUCGGGAGGAACACCAGUGGCGAAGGCGGCUUUCUAGGCUGUAACUGACGCUGAGACCCAUAAGCGUGGGGAGCAAACA